GCCUCCGCCGCCCCCGCCUCAGCAUGAGAGGAGCCGCCGCCGGGACGCCCUGCCACCCCCCGUUGCUGAGCCCGGUAAAGUACUGAAGUAUAGAUUACUGACCUGACAAUAAAAACUUGCAAUAAAAUGGCAAUGUCUAGGGUACCCACCCCACCUCCACCUGGAGAGAUGACCUGUGGUCCUAUAGCUGAAAGUUGGUGUUAUACACAGGUGAAAGUAGUAAAAUUUUCCUAUAUGUGGACCAUUAAUAACUUCAGUUUUUGUAGAGAAGAAAUGGGUGAAGUUUUAAAAAGUUCUACAUUUUCAUCAGGCCCAAAUGACAAAAUGAAAUGGUGCCUGAGAGUAAAUCCAAAGGGAUUAGAUGAUGAAAGUAAAGACUACUUGUCCUUAUAUUUGCUUUUAGUCAGCUGCCCCAAAAGUGAAGUUCGAGCAAAAUUCAAAUUUUCCCUUCUAAAUGCUAAAAGGGAAGAAACAAAAGCAAUGGAAAGCCAAAGAGCAUAUCGAUUUGUACAGGGGAAGGACUGGGGAUUUAAAAAAUUCAUUAGGAGAGAUUUUUUGCUUGAUGAAGCUAAUGGUCUUUUACCAGAUGACAAACUUACAUUGUUUUGCGAGGUAAGCGUGGUCCAAGAUUCAGUAAAUAUAUCAGGACAGACUAAUACAAACACUUUGAAAGUACCUGAAUGUCGACUAGCAGAAGAUUUAGGGAAUCUCUGGGAAACCACGAGAUUUACUGAUUGCAGUUUUUUUGUAAGAGGACAAGAAUUCAAAGCUCAUAAAUCUGUUCUUGCAGCUCGCUCCCUCGUUUUUAAUGCAAUGUUUGAACAUGAAAUGGAAGAAAGCAAAAAGAAUCGAGUAGAAAUAAAUGAUGUAGACCCGGAAGUUUUUAAAGAAAUGAUGAGAUUCAUUUAUACAGGGAAAGCACCAAACCUUGACAAAAUGGCUGACAACUUGUUAGCAGCUGCAGACAAAUAUGCACUGGAUCGGCUGAAGGUGAUGUGUGAAGAAGCUUUGUGUAGUAACCUCUCAGUAGAAAAUGUUGCUGACAUCCUUAUCCUUGCAGAUUUGCACAGUGCCGAACAGUUGAAAGCACAAGCGAUAGAGUUCAUUAAUAGGUGCAGUGUACUUCGACAGUUUGGGUGUAAAGAUGGGAAAAACUGGAACAGCAACCAAACAACAGACAUAAUGGAAACAGCAGGCUGGAAAUCUAUGAUUCAGUCCCACCCUCAUUUAGUGGCAGAGGCCUUCCGAGCACUAGCAUCUGCACAGUGUCCACAGUUUGGUAUUCCACGCAAACGACUAAAACAGUCUUGAAAUCUUCCAUGAACUUUAGAAAAAAUCAAUUGACUUUUACUCCUCCAGGUUCAGAUGGAUUCUAAUAUACAAACCAUAAACAAGAAUUGUUUUUGUUAUCCUUGUCCACAGAACAGAAGCUGAAAAAGCAUUGUUUGCUUUUCAGAUGGAUAAUUUAUGGUUUAAUCUUCAGCUUUAAAUUAGACUGAUUACUCUCUAAUUCACUGCAAGGCCUUAAAUUAUCUUCAGUGACUUCUAGUUCAUAUAGGCUAAUUUUUUUUAAAUUGUGCCUUGUCUUUUUGACUAGGCUAUGCAGGAUUGCACUAGCUCCAUAAUGCAGUAAAAUUGAUAACUGAAGAUAUUAAGUUUCAAAAGGAUCUUCCAUUGUUUUGAAAAACAAAAUGAAUUUUAUAGUUUCUGGUCCUGUGCUAUCUCGAAGGUUAAAACUAGGCUCUCCUAAAAACACUUGAAUUGGAGAUGACUACAGAAAUGCUCCAGUCCAAGUCUUGUGAAUACAGGAGAGCUUGCUUACCUUCAAGGUCUUCACCAGUCAUCCUAAUGUUUAAGGAAGAGAAUGUACAUGUAUUUACACUUAACACUGAAAAGUAAGCAUUUAUUUACAAACUGGAAAGAGUUUAAAGGCUUGUACUUUAAAAUCUUUUAAAUCUCUUUCUGUAGUUCUAACUGUAUUGUGUCAGUUUUGAAAUUGGAAGCAUCCCUUAGGCAAGCAGAAAGAUUAAAGUUGAGCAGAAGAUUCCUUCCCUGAUAACAGGCUCUUUCUGUCCUUUGGAGCAGUAAGAAGAGUAAAAUGCACACUUCCCUGACUCCACCAAGAGAUUGAGCUAUAUGCGUUUACAAUGUGAAGUUAUAGUUAUUUUCUUAAUUUUUUUAAACUCCUGCUAGAGAUCUCCAAGACUGGCUACCUGGGGUAUAAAUAAUGUUUCCUCCACCUCAGUUUAGUGAAGUUUUUCUGCCAUGUAUUAUAGUAAAAUUUAAGAUAUGCAUAUAUGUGAUGGUAUGUGAUGUAUGUGUGUGUGUGUGUGUAUGCAAAUACAUAUAUAUAUAUAUACACACAUUAUACAGAGAUAUAUAGAUAUGUACAUAUACACACAUACACACAUAUAUCUCACACCAUGCAUAAAUUCACUGCUAGAAACUACAGCUCUAAAAUACAGUAACUUAGUAAUGUUUGUUACUGUGUAAUAUUCACUUCAGCUUGUUCUAAUAUAAUAUCACUGUCUAUUGGAAAGCUUAAGGAUUUUAUUAUAAAGAUUUUUUAAAGCUCAAUAGCACAUUUUGUACCAAAAAUGUCAAACGCUGUGCUGUAAGAAUAUCUACGUUUGUAAAAAAAAUGUCCACUUUUCAGAUAAUUCAAUGCAUACCUUCCUUACACUAACAGAAAAUUGUAUGGCAUUAUUUUGCUUGUUUUUAUUUAUUAUGUAUAUUUUCAGUUUUGUUAUGUCUUAAGGAAAAGGUAAACAGUUGCUGUAUUCUCAAGUGGAUGCAUUCAUUAUUAGCUCUUUGGUUGCAUUUAAACCCCAUGCAGCAUUCUCAGUGGACCCUAAUGACUGUCCAAAACAUCUUUGUCCUUUUGAAUCACCAGCUUGCUUCUUUCUAUGUACCCUUUUUUCACUUCUGGGGGCUUUCCCCUAGAAAUGUAGUGAUUAAUUUCAAAUGUUCUGUGUUAUAAAGUAACAUCACAAAAUGUUCUUAUUCAGGCUAAGAUUUUAAAACAGUGUGUAUGUUCGCGUGUGUUUUGUUUUUUAAAACUGUACAAGUGUUUGGAGCACAAGUAUGAAGGUGCCAUAACAUUUUGGCUUGCCAACAUUACCUCCUUAAAUAUUCACGUCUACCACCUUCAGACUUUUUUGGAGAAUCUUGCAUGUGUUGUGUGGUCAUGUUGCGUGUAGAUACACGCUUGUGUGUGUAUGUGUGUGUGGUAUUUUUACAGAGGUAGAUUUUUCUGAAAAUAGGACUCAGUUAAAUCUUAAAAUGACAGGUUAGUUUCAGAUAUUUCAUUUCAACUUGUUUUAUUUAGGAGACAGUUCAGGAAGCCAGGAAACUAUAAAAUACUUUUUUAUAUGGUCAAUUUACUGCAUACUGAACUAAGAAAAUACAGUGCCUUUUUAGGACUUCUAUUAUAAAAUUAAGUUAUAAAACAUUAAAAUAUCUUAAGUUUUUUCAAGUAUUACUGAUGCAUAUGUAAACUAGAUUGAAAAUAAAUUAUGAAAAGAUUGGAUUAAUUUAUUUCCCUCUUUGACAUUGUAGUAAGCCACAACUGAAAUAUGAAAGUGAGUGUUCUUUGCUGAUGUGUAAUUGAGAACAACAUUCCUAAAAUCCAAGUCCUUUAUUCAGAUGAUUUUAUUUUAAAAAUCUAACACAAGCAGUCCUAUACAGUAUUCUUGAAUGGGAAGAGUUUUUUUUUUCCCCUAAUUCAAACAUGUCAGGUAUUUAUAUUUGCAUUCUCAUGGUCUAAAAUAAGUAUUUUAAGAAUGAAAUUUUAGGAGUUCAUUAUUUCCUUGUAAAGGUGUUUCAUAGUUUAAAAUCAACAUUUUAGUCCAGAUUGAAAUGUAUAUCCAAAUUUUAAGUAUUCACUUCAUUUAUUCGAAAUUAAUAUUAGUCACAGAUUUUAAUGUAUUGGAAAGACACACACACACACACACACACACACACAGAGCUUCCUUAUAAACUAUCAAGAUUAAACUAGUUUAACCAGUGCUCUGCACAUAGUAGGUGCUUAAUAAAUGUUUGCUGAAUUGAAUUUGACUCACAGCUUAUUUUCUGUUUGCAGUAAAUGGACUUUAUAUUUGAAAGAGAACUUGUGGGAAAUCUUUAGAUGUUUGACUUCAUCAUUAUGCGCAGCAGUCCAGUUAAUUCUGUAUUCCGUGUUUAGAAUGAAGGCUUAACUUAAAUGAGUCCUGUUUUGGAAAGAAAAACAUUGUUAUGAUGAUUUAAAGACCAGUAUUGGGGUGGGUAUGAUUUAGAAAAUUCAUAAUAUAUGUAUAAACACUUGCAUCAAACCGGCCAGCCUCUUUUUUUAAUCAGCUGAUGUUAAUGUUCAGAUACUUUUUGUAUCUUGUUGCUGAAAAUAUUUUUGCAUUUCAGCACAUC